UUAACACAAUCAUUUGAGAAAGAAGAGAAGCCCUCAAAAGAUGAAGCAGAAAAAGAAAAGGCCAGUGAUAAGUUGCCCAGAAAAAUGUUAUCAAGAGGGACAGAAUGAUGCUGCUGAAAUUGGAACAAGAAAUUUUAGAUUUCAUUGGUAAUAAUGAGUCUCCACGUAAAAAAUUCCCCCCAAUGACAUCUUACCAUAGGAUGCUAUUACACAGAGUAGCCGCUUACUUUGGAUU
rnacentral:sRNA from 1 species